UACGAAGGGGGCUAGCGUUGCUCGGAAUUACUGGGCGUAAAGCGCACGUAGGCGGAUUGUUAAGUCGGGGGUGAAAUCCUGGAGCUCAACUCCAGAACUGCCUUCGAUACUGAGAGUCUCGAGUCCGAGAGAGGUGAGUGGAACUGCGAGUGUAGAGGUGAAAUUCGUAGAUAUUCGCAAGAACACCAGUGGCGAAGGCGGCUCACUGGCUCGGUACUGACGCUGAGGUGCGAAAGCGUGGGGAGCAAACAGG
rnacentral:rRNA from 1 species